UGGGGAAUAUUGCACAAUGGGCGCAAGCCUGAUGCAGCCAUGCCGCGUGUAUGAAGAAGGCCUUCGGGUUGUAAAGUACUUUCAGUCGGGAGGAAGGUGGUAAGGUUAAUAACCUUAUCAAUUGACGUUACCGACAGAAGAAGCACCGGCUAACUCCGUGCCAGCAGCCGCGGUAAUACGGAGGGUGCAAGCGUUAAUCGGAAUUACUUGGCGUAAAGCGCACGCAGGCGGUUGAUUGAGUCAGAUGUGAAAUCCCCGGGCUUAACCCGAGAAUUGCAUCUGGUACUGGUCAGCUAGAGUCUUGUAGAGAGGGGUAGAAUUCAAUGUGUAGCGGUGAAGUGCGUAGAGAUGUGGAGGAAUACCGGUCGCGAAGGCGGCCCCCUGGACAAAGACUGACGAUCAGGUACGAAAGCGUGGGGAGCAAACAGG
rnacentral:rRNA from 1 species